GGUGCUGGGGCUCAGUGGCAGAGCACUUGCCUAGCAUGUGUGAGGCAUUGGGUUCAAUCCUCAGCACCA
rnacentral:tRNA from 1 species